CAGUAGCCGCGGGAAUACGAAGGGUGCAAGCGUUAAUCGGAAUUACUGGGCGUAAAGCGUGCGUAGGCGGUGAGUUAAGUCUGCUGUGAAAGCCCUGGGCUCAACCUGGGAAUUGCAGUGGAUACUGGGUCACUAGAGUGUGGUAGAGGAUAGUGGAAUUUCCGGUGUAGCAGUGAAAUGCGUAGAGAUCGGAAGGAACAUCUGUGGCGAAGGCGACUAUCUGGGCCAACACUGACACUGAGGCACGAAAGCGUGGGGAGCAAACAGGAUUAGAUACCCGCGUAGUCCCUGUCUCUUAUAC
rnacentral:rRNA from 1 species